rnacentral:rRNA from 1 species
GUCGAGCGGUAGCACAGAGAGCUUGCUCUCGGGUGACGAGCGGCGGACGGGUGAGUAAUGUCUGGGAAACUGCCUGAUGGAGGGGGAUAACUACUGGAAACGGUAGCUAAUACCGCAUAAUGUCGCAAGACCAAAGUGGGGGACCUUCGGGCCUCAUGCCAUCAGAUGUGCCCAGAUGGGAUUAGCUAGUAGGUGGGGUAACGGCUCACCUAGGCGACGAUCCCUAGCUGGUCUGAGAGGAUGACCAGCCACACUGGAAUUGAGACACGGUCCAGACUCCUACGGGAGGCAGCAGUGGGGAAUAUUGCACAAUGGGCGCAAGCCUGAUGCAGCCAUGCCGCGUGUGUGAAGAAGGCCUUCGGGUUGUAAAGCACUUUCAGCGGGGAGGAAGGCGGUGAGGUUAAUAACCUCAUCGAUUGACGUUACCCGCAGAAGAAGCACCGGCUAACUCCGUGCCAGCAGCCGCGGUAAUACGGAGGGUGCAAGCGUUAAUCGGAAUUACUGGGCGUAAAGCGCACGCAGGCGGUCUGUCAAGUCGGAUGUGAAAUCCCCGGGCUCAACCUGGGAACUGCAUUCGAAACUGGCAGGCUAGAGUCUUGUAGAGGGGGGUAGAAUUCCAGGUGUAGCGGUGAAAUGCGUAGAGAUCUGGAGGAAUACCGGUGGCGAAGGCGGCCCCCUGGACAAAGACUGACGCUCAGGUGCGAAAGCGUGGGGAGCAAACAGGAUUAGAUACCCUGGUAGUCCAUGCCGUAAACGAUGUCGAUUUGGAGGUUGUGCCCUUGAGGCGUGGCUUCCGGAGCUAACGCGUUAAAUCGACCGCCUGGGGAGUACGGCCGCAAGGUUAAAACUCAAAUGAAUUGACGGGGGCCCGCACAAGCGGUGGAGCAUGUGGUUUAAUUCGAUGCAACGCGAAGAACCUUACCUGGUCUUGACAUCCACAGAACUUUCCAGAGAUGGAUUGGUGCCUUCGGGAACUGUGAGACAGGUGCUGCAUGGCUGUCGUCAGCUCGUGUUGUGAAAUGUUGGGUUAAGUCCCCCAACGAGCGCAACCCUUAUCCUUUGUUGCCAGCGGUUAGGCCGGGAACUCAAAGGAGACUGCCAGUGAUAAACUGGAGGAAGGUGGGGAUGACGUCAAGUCAUCAUGGCCCUUACGACCAGGGCUACACACGUGCUACAAUGGCAUAUACAAAGAGAAGCGACCUCGCGAGAGCAAGCGGACCUCAUAAAGUAUGUCGUAGUCCGGAUUGGAGUCUGCAACUCGACUCCAUGAAGUCGGAAUCGCUAGUAAUCGUAGAUCAGAAUGCUACGGUGAAUACGUUCCCGGGCCUUGUACACACCGCCCGUCACACCAUGGGAGUGGGUUGCAAAAGAAGUAGGUAGCUUAACCUUCGGGAGGGCGC